GACCGAGGGAGCCUCCACGGCUAGCGGCUCGGGCUCGGGCUCGGGCUCGGGCUCGGGCUCGGGCUCGGGCUCGGCUCGGGCUCGGGCUCGGGCUC
rnacentral:tRNA from 1 species